AUUUGAAAUGACUCUCGGCAACGGAUAUCUCGGCUCUUGCAUCGAUGAAGAACGUAGCGAAAUGCGAUACUUGGUGUGAAUUGCAGAAUCCCGUGAACCAUCGAGUCUUUGAACGCAAGUUGCGCCCAAAGCCAUUAGGCUGAGGGCACGCCUGCCUGGGUGUCACAC
rnacentral:rRNA from 1 species